rnacentral:rRNA from 1 species
UACAGAGGGUGCGAGCGUUGUCCGGAAUCACUGGGCGUAAAGGGCGCGUAGGUGGCGCAGCAAGUGUGUGGUGAAAGCCCGGGGCUCAACCCCGGGUCGGCCAUGCAAACUGCUGGGCUUGAGCACUGUAGAGGCAGAUGGAAUUCCGGGUGUAGCGGUGGAAUGCGUAGAGAUCCGGAAGAACACCGGUGGCGAAGGCGGUCUGCUGGGCAGUUGCUGACACUGAGGCGCGACAGCGUGGGGAGCAAACAGG